rnacentral:rRNA from 1 species
UACAGAGGUCCCAAGCGUUGUUCGGAUUCACUGGGCGUAAAGGGUGCGUAGGUGGUAAGGCAAGUCAGGUGUGAAAUCUCCAAGCUCAACUUGGAAACUGCAUUCGAAACUACCUUGCUAGAGGAUUUGAGGGGGGACUGGAAUACUUGGUGUAGCAGUGAAAUGCGUAGAUAUCAAGUGGAACACCAGUGGCGAAGGCGAGUCCCUGGAAAAUUCCUGACACUGAGGCACGAAAGCGAGGGGAGCAAACGGG